rnacentral:lncRNA from 1 species
AUUUAUUUGCUUCUACAUAGAUGCACUGGAAUAUCUUUAGGAGAAUCUAUGCACUUGUUUUAACUGAGAAGAAUUUUUUUUUUUUUUUUUUUAACCCAAGCUGACUACUCAGGUCCGCCAUAGACUCAAAAUAGUGUCCAGUUGUGAAAUGAGCAGUAGAAAUGAACCAAACCUCUGGUGUCUUUUUCUGAGGAUGUAAAGCAGAGAGAGGCCUCUACUUUAUUUCCUCUCUGUUUAGAGCAUUCAGUCAAUAGUACCAGCUUCUUUGGCUCCAAGUGUGGGAUUCAGGAGGUGUCCUGAAUCAUCUGAAGUGGCAGCCCAGGGCUGUUCUGAACCAAGCUGAGAAAGUGGCACAAUGCUGUGUUGCAGGAAGUGAAAGAUGCCCCUUAGCCUCUGUGUCACUUGCUCAUGCUAGUGACACAGUCAGCAACUACAGAUACAGAGAAGACAGCCACACAGGCUUGGAAGCAGGCAUUGGCCUUUGGGACAAGGAACCCCAGUGGCCCUCACUCCCAGAGCAUGGCCUAAAAAGGUAUGUGUGUGUGUGUGUGUGUGUGUACAUGCAUGAGUAUAUACGUGAACACGUGCACAUGCAUGUGUAUACGUGUGUGUGCAUGUGUGCGUGCUGUGGUUGGGCACAUCACCAUGAGUAUGUUGGAGCAAGGAUUUUCUUUUCUCAAGC